AUUGAACGCUGGCGGCAUGCUUUACACAUGCAAGUCGAACGGUAACAGGCCGCAAGGUGCUGACGAGUGGCGAACGGGUGAGUAAUGCAUCGGAACGUGCCCAGUCGUGGGGGAUAACGCAGCGAAAGCUGCGCUAAUACCGCAUACGAUCUAUGGAUGAAAGCGGGGGACCGUAAGGCCUCGCGCGGUUGGAGCGGACGAUGUCAGAUUAGGUAGUUGGUGGGGUAAAGGCUCACCAAGCCAACGAUCUGUAGCUGGUCUGAGAGGACGACCAGCCACACUGGGACUGAGACACGGCCCAGACUCCUACGGGAGGCAGCAGUGGGGAAUUUUGGACAAUGGGCGCAAGCCUGAUCCAGCAAUGCCGCGUGCAGGAAGAAGGCCUUCGGGUUGUAAACUGCUUUUGUACGGAACGAAACGGUCCGGGUUAAUACCCUGGGCUAAUGACGGUACCGUAAGAAUAAGCACCGGCUAACUACGUGCCAGCCGCCGCGGUAACAC
rnacentral:rRNA from 1 species